CUGCUUCUUUAGCGUGGCUUUUUACAACAAACUGAUUAUCAGUAGCAUUAGCAUUAGCUUGCAGGCAACUGCGUUUAUGUGUGUAAUCCUCCACUAUCAGAGAGGAACCAGAGACCCAGAGAAAUGCAAACACCUCCAGAACCCAGAUAAUGCUCCUCACCAACACCAGCUCCUUUAGAACAGAUCAGAGGAACCUACAGGAGUCCAUAACCUCACUGCACCCUUACAGACCCGAGAAACCGCUCAUGGAGUUAAAGGGUUAACAAUGUCAGGUGAGAAUCCAGAUACUCGGAUGGGUGCGUAUCUGUAAAUGAGCCAAGCGAAGGGCAGGACAGCUCGUCCAUCUGUGGAGGAGAGUGAGCGUCAGGUGUUCGCUGAGGCAGGAACUUUACUGGAGUACGGAGAGAAAUAGAGAGAGAGAGAGAGAGAGAGAGAGAGAGAGAGAGAGAUGGUCAGUCAGUGAGUGCUGAUCAGAUUGUGGUCAAGGUCAGGCCUGUGUUGGGCAUGAAUAAAACAUCAGCCACCCUGAGAGACAGAACGAGAGAGAGAUAGAGGGAUAUGGGGAGAUAGAGAGAGAGAGAGAGAGAGAGAGAGAGAGCAGUCAGAAACUUACACCCUCCUUCCAUCUGGCUGAGGUUAGAGGGACGGGAGAGAGGGGGAAGAAACAGAAAACACAGAAACAGUCUGGACCUCCAUCCACUCAAUUAUCACAUAUAGUACAGUAGUAUAGAGUAGUAUAUGGAGUUUAGCGUAGUAAAGGAUAGUAUAUAGCAGUAUAUCGUUGCUGUCCUAUGAAAAAUACUUAUCUCCGUUUUUGUCGAUUUUUAGACAAACUAUCCCUUACACUGUGCCAAAAUUUCUUUAUAAAGAGACCAAUAGAAAAUGACCAGAAAUAAACUCUUUUUACAUUGACUUCCAUUGCCAGUUUACAAGGUUUUUUCUUUCUCCUGUAAAAUUGCUGUUUUGGAGAGUGUUUUCCAUUGGACAGUGACGAUAUGGACUAUGGGGAAUAAUAGAGUAGUAUAGAGAAGUAUAGGGAGUUUAGGGUAGUAUAGGAUAGUAUAUAGCAGUAUAUGGACUGUGGGGAUUAUAUAGUAGAGAAGUAUAGAGAAGUAUAGGGAGUUUAGGGUAGUAUAGGAUAGUAUAUAGCAGUAUAUGGACUGUGGGGAUUAUAUAGUAGAGAAGUAUAGAGAAGUAUAGGGAGUUUAGGGUAGUAUAGGAUAGUAUAUAGCAGUAUAUGGACUGUGGGGAUUAUAUAGUAGAGAAGUAUAGGGAGUUUAGGGUAGUAUAGGAUAGUAUAUAGCAGUAUAUGGACUGUGGGGAUUAUAUAGUAGAGUAGUAUAGGGAGUUUAGGGUAGUAUAGGAUAGCAAAUAGCAGUAUAUGUAUUUUGGGGGAUUAUAUAGUAGAGUAGUAUAGAGAGUUUAGGGUAGUAUAGGAUAGUAUGUAGCAGUAUAUGGACUAUAGGGGAUUAUAUAGUAGAGUAGUAUAGAAAAGUAUAGGGAGUUUAGGGUAGUGUAGGAUAGUAAAUAGCAGUAUAUGUAUUUUUGGGGAUUAUAUAGUAGAGUAGUAUAGGGAGUUUAGGGUAGUAUAGGAUAGUAUAUAGCAGUAUAUGGACUAUGGGGGAUUAUAGAGUAGAGUAGUAUAGGGAGUUUAGGGUAUUAUAGGAUAGUAUAUAGCAGUAUAUGGACUGUGGGGAUUAUAUAGUAGAGUAGUAUAGAGAAGUAUAGGGAAUUUGGGAUAUUAUAGGAUAGUAUAUAGCAGUUUAUGUAUUUUUGGGGAUUAUAUAGUAGAGUAGUAUAGGGAAUUUAGGGUAGUAUUGGAUAGUAUAUAGCAGUAUAUGGACUGUGGGGAUUGUAUAGUAGAGUAGUAUAGGGAGUUUAGGGUAGUAUAGGAUAGUAUAUAGCAGUAUAUGGACUAUGGGGGAUUAUAGAGUAGAGUAGUAUAGGGAGUGUAGGAGGUGUAAUAGCAUAAUUUAGGAUAAUACAUGGAAUUUAGGGUACAACUAUGUGGUUUAAAGGGUUGUAUAAGGUAGACUAGGUAGUAUUGUAUAGUAUGAAAUAAGUAAGUAUAAGUAAUAAGUAUAAGUUCAGUAGGGUAGUAUAUGAUAGUACUGGGAAUAUUUUGUACUAUAUUGAGUAUUGUGCAGCAUUGGGUAAUAUAGGGAGUAUGUGGUUGUAUAUAAAGUAUAGUGCAGUAAAAGUUAGUAUAUGGAGCAUAUGGUAGAAUGGGGAGUAUGUGAUAGUAUAUGGAGUAUGGUGUAGUAUGGGGGAGUAUGUGAUAGUAUAUCGUCCCUGUUUAAUGAAAAACACAUUUGUCCAUUUUUGUUGAUUUUUAGUUUACUACAUAAUUUAAACAGACAAACUGUCCCUUACACUGUGCCAAAAUUUCUUGAUGAACGGACCAAUAGAAAGUCUACAAAAUGACCUGAAAUAAAUUAUUUUUACAUUGA